rnacentral:snRNA from 1 species
AUUGUUUUUAAAAAGAUUGUU